AGCGAACGCUGGCGGCAGGCUUAACACAUGCAAGUCGAGCGGGCAUCCUCGUGGUGUCAGCGGCAGACGGGUGAGUAACGCGUGGGAACGUGCCCUUCGGCUCGGAAUAACCCAGGGAAACUUGAGCUAAUACCGGAUACGACCUUUUGGGGAAAGGUUUACUGCCGAAGGAUCGGUGCGCGUCUGCUUAGCGGGUUGGUGAGGUUAUGGCUCACCAAGGCGACGAUCAGUUGCUGGUCUGGGAGGCUGAUCAGCCAGACUGGGACUGAGACACAGCCCAGUCUCCUACGGAAGAGAGCGGUAGAGAAUAUUAUACAAUGGAGGCAACCCUGAUCCAGCCAUGCCGGGUGAGUGAUGACGGCCUUAGGGUUGUAAAGCUCUUUUCUCCGAGGCGAUAAUGACGGUACCGGAGAAAGAAGCCCCGGCUAACUACGUG
rnacentral:rRNA from 1 species